rnacentral:rRNA from 1 species
UACGUAGGGUGCAAGCGUUUGUCCGGAAUUAUUGGGCGUAAAGAGCUCGUAGGCGGUUUGUCGCGUCUGCUGUGAAAACCCGAGGCUCAACCUCGGGCCUGCAGUGGGUACGGGCAGACUAGAGUGCGGUAGGGGAGAUUGGAAUUCCUGGUGUAGCGGUGAAAUGCGCAGAUAUCAGGAGGAACACCGGUGGCGAAGGCGGGUCUCUGGGCCGUAACUGACGCUGAGGAGCGAAAGCAUGGGGAGCGAACAGG